rnacentral:rRNA from 1 species
GAUGAAAAUCUGAUCAUUAGUCUAGCGAAUUACAGGAGGUUGCUCCUUUGACGUUAGCGGCGGACGGGUGAGUAACACGUGGGUAACCUACCUAUAAGACUGGGAUAACUUCGGGAAACCGGAGCUAAUACCGGAUAAUAUUUCGAACCGCAUGGUUCGAUAGUGAAAGAUGGUUUUGCUAUCACUUAUAGAUGGACCCGCGCCGUAUUAGCUAGUUGGUAAGGUAACGGCUUACCAAGGCGACGAUACGUAGCCGACCUGAGAGGGUGAUCGGCCACACUGGAACUGAGACACGGUCCAGACUCCUACGGGAGGCAGCAGUAGGGAAUCUUCCGCAAUGGGCGAAAGCCUGACGGAGCAACGCCGCGUGAGUGAUGAAGGUCUUCGGAUCGUAAAACUCUGUUAUUAGGGAAGAACAUACGUGUAAGUAACUAUGCACGUCUUGACGGUACCUAAUCAGAAAGCCACGGCUAACUACGUGCCAGCAGCCGCGGUAAUACGUAGGUGGCAAGCGUUAUCCGGAAUUAUUGGGCGUAAAGCGCGCGUAGGCGGUUUUUUAAGUCUGAUGUGAAAGCCCACGGCUCAACCGUGGAGGGUCAUUGGAAACUGGAAAACUUGAGUGCAGAAGAGGAAAGUGGAAUUCCAUGUGUAGCGGUGAAAUGCGCAGAGAUAUGGAGGAACACCAGUGGCGAAGGCGACUUUCUGGUCUGUAACUGACGCUGAUGUGCGAAAGCGUGGGGGAUCAAACAGGAUUAGAUACCCUGGUAGUUCCACGCCGUAAACGAUGAGCGCUAAGUGUUAGGGGGUUUCCGCCCCUUAGUGCUGCAGCUAACGCAUUAAGCACUCCGCCUGGGGAGUACGACCGCAAGGUGAAACUCAAAGGAAAUUGACGGGGACCCGCACAAAGCGUG